rnacentral:rRNA from 1 species
AGAGUUUGAUCAUGGCUCAGAACGUACGCUGGCGGCACGCCUAACACAUGCAAGUCGAACGAAGUAGCAAUACUUAGUGGCAGACGGGUGAGUAACAUGUAGGUAUCUGCCCUUUGGCCUGGAAUAACACGAGGAAACUUGUGCUAAUACCGGAUAAGUCUUUACGGAGAAAGCUUUAUGCACCAUUGGAUGAGCCUGCACUUGAUUAGUUUGUUGGUGGGGUAAUGGCCUACCAAGACUUUGAUCAAUAGCUGAUUUGAGAGGAUGAUCAGCCACAUUGGGACUGAGACACGGCCCAAACUCCUACGGGAGGCAGCAGUGGGGAAUCUUGCACAAUGGAGGAAACUCUGAUGCAGCGAUGCCGCGUGAGUGAAGAAGGCCCUUGGGUUGUAAAGCUCUUUCGUCGGGGAAGAAAAUGACUGUACCCGAAUAAGAAGGUCCGGCUAACUUCGUGCCAGCAGCCGCGGUAAUACGAAGGGACCUAGCGUAGUUCGGAAUUACUGGGCUUAAAGAGUUCGUAGGUGGUUGAAAAAGUUGGUGGUGAAAUCCCAGAGCUUAACUCUGGAACUGCCAUCAAAACUUUUCAGCUAGAGUUUGAUAGAGGAAAGCAGAAUUUCUAGUGUAGAGGUGAAAUUCGUAGAUAUUAGAAAGAAUACCAAUUGCGAAGGCAGCUUUCUGGAUCAUUACUGACACUGAGGAACGAAAGCAUGGGUAGCGAAGAGGAUUAGAUACCCUCGUAGUCCAUGCCGUAAACGAUGUGUGUUAGACGUUGGAAAUUUAUUUUCAGUGUCGCAGCGAAAGCGAUAAACACACCGCCUGGGGAGUACGACCGCAAGGUUAAAACUCAAAUGAAUUGACGGGGACCCGCACAAGUAGUGGAGCAUGUGGUUUAAUUCGAAGAUACGCGCAGAACCUUACCAACACUUGACAUGUUCGUCGCGACUCUGAGAGAUCAGAGUUUUCGGUUCGGCCGGACGAAACACAGGUGCUGCAUGGCUGUCGUCAGCUCGUGUCGUGAGAUGUUGGGUUAAGUCCCGCAACGAGCGCAACCCUCACUUUUAGUUGCCAUCAUUAAGUUGGGCACUCUGAAAGAACUGCCAGUGAUAAGCUGGAGGAAGGUGGGGAUGACGUCAAGUCCUCAUGGCCCUUACGUGUUGGGCUACACACGUGCUACAAUGAUAUCUACAACAGGAAGCAAAACGGCGACGUUAAGCAAAUCCUUAAAAGAUAUCUCAGUUCGGAUUGCACUCUGCAACUCGAGUGCAUGAAGCUGGAAUUACUAGUAAUCGUGGAUCAGCGUGCCACGGUGAAUGCGUUCCCGGGUCUUGUACACACCGCCCGUCACACCAUGGGAGUUGGUUCUACCUUAAGGCAAGGUUUUAAACCCUUGACCACGGUAUAGUCAGCGACUGGGGUGAAGUCGUAACAAGGUA